rnacentral:rRNA from 1 species
CCAGACUCCUACGGGAGGCAGCAGUGAGGAAUAUUGGUCAAUGGGCGGAAGCCUGAACCAGCCAAGUCGCGUGAGGGAAUAAGGCCCUACGGGUCGUAAACCUCUUUUGCCGGGGAGCAAGGGCGGGGACGUGUCCCGGCCCGGAGAGUACCCGGAGAAAAAGCAUCGGCUAACUCCGUGCCAGCAGCCGCGGUAAUACGGAGGAUGCGAGCGUUAUCCGGAUUUAUUGGGUUUAAAGGGUGCGUAGGCGGAAUGCCAAGUCAGCGGUAAAAUCGCGGGGCUCAACCUCGCUCCGCCGUUGAAACUGGCGUUCUUGAGUGGGCGAGAAGUAUGCGGAAUGCGUGGUGUAGCGGUGAAAUGCAUAGAUAUCACGCAGAACUCCGAUUGCGAAGGCAGCAUACCGGCGCCCAACUGACGCUGAAGCACGAAAGCGUGGGUAUCGAACAGGAUUAGAUACCCGAGUA